rnacentral:rRNA from 1 species
UACGUAGGGUGCAAGCGUUGUCCGGAAUUAUUGGGCGUAAAGAGCUCGUAGGCGGUUUGUCGCGUCGGCUGUGAAAACCCGAGGCUCAACCGUCGGGCCUGCAGUCGAUACGGGCAAACUAGAGUGUGGUAGGGGAGACGUGGAAUUCCUGGUGUAGCGGUGAAAUGCGCAGAUAUCAGGAGGAACACCGGCGGCGAAGGCGGGUCUCUGGGCCAUAACUGACGCUGAGGAGCGAAAGCGUGGGGAGCGAACAG